rnacentral:tRNA from 1 species
GGCCGGAUAGCUCAGUUGGUAGAGCGGAGGACUGAAAAUCCUUGUGUCCCUGGUUCGAUUCCUGGUCCGGCCACCA